CAAAAAACAUUGAAAUUUAGGACUAACAUUGUGUAAUUUAUUUCUUUUCAGGUACCCCCGCCAGAAGGACGGAAGCAUCGAGUCGCUGAGGAGCCUAAGGAGUCAUCACAGAUGCAAAUUGCCGGUCGUCAGCUGUCAUUGCAUUUUUAUUGAGCUGCUGGCAUUAUGGUGGUGGCGUUCGUCUCGUGGCAGAGAAGUCGUCAGUGAGGAUUGUAGCUCGGUCUAUCACCGAGGAAAGCCAGGUGCGCCGCGUCUUGUGGCCAUAGCGUCAGGAUUGGCAGCUUGGGGCCGCCGGUUCGAGAUUUGUUGCAGAGGGCCGCCGCAACGUGAUAGGCAUGGAAAUGAAUGUAAGAAUUGUAUUUGGUACAUUGAGUGGAAUUUAAUUUAAGGUACGUUUUGUGAGGGCUAACUUGGAGGCCCUUUUUAUUGUGUUAUUGCAGCUGGAAUGCCGCGAUUUUGGAGUCAUCAAGUUGGCAAUUAGAUAAGUAUUAUAUUAUAAAUAUAUAUUUCCCAGUAAUAGCUUGUGUUCC